rnacentral:rRNA from 1 species
GACGAACGCUGGCGGCGUGCUUAACACAUGCAAGUCGAACGGAAAGGCCCUGCUUUUGUGGUGUGCUCGAGUGGCGAACGGGUGAGUAACACGUGAGUAACCUGCCCUUGACUUUGGGAUAACUUCAGGAAACUGGGGCUAAUACCGGAUAGGAGCUCCUGCUGCAUGGUGAGGGUUGGAAAGUUUCGGCGGUUGGGGAUGGACUCGCGGCUUAUCAGCUUGUUGGUGGGGUAGUGGCUUACCAAGGCUUUGACGGGUAGCCGGCCUGAGAGGGUGACCGGCCACAUUGGGACUGAGAUACGGCCCAGACUCCUACGGGAGGCAGUAGUGGGGAAUAUUGCACAAUGGGCGGAAGCCUGAUGCAGCAACGCCGCGUGCGGGAUGACGGCCUUCGGGUUGUAAACCGCUUUCGCCUGUGACGAAGCGUGAGUGACGGUAAUGGGUAAAGAAGCACCGGCUAACUACGUG